GACGAACGCUGGCGGCGUGCUUAACACAUGCAAGUCGAGCGAACCUUCGGGUUAGCGGCGAACGGGUGAGUAACACGUGGGCAACCUGCCCCGAGCUCUGGGAUAACUCCGGGAAACCGGGGCUAAUACCGGAUACGACCUUGGAAGACAUCUUCCUUGGUGGAAAGUUUUUCGGCUCGGGAUGGGCCCGCGGCCUAUCAGCUUGUUGGUGGGGUAACGGCCUACCAAGGCGACGACGGGUAGCCGGCCUGAGAGGGCGACCGGCCACACUGGGACUGAGACACGGCCCAGACUCCUACGGGAGGCAGCAGUGGGGAAUAUUGCGCAAUGGGCGAAAGCCUGACGCAGCGACGCCGCGUGAGGGAUGAAGG
rnacentral:rRNA from 1 species